GCGCCACUCAUCAAGAGAGGCAGAUAGUUGGGGUACCAACCUUUGGCACCCUAUCUAGGGUUUUUCAUGCAAGAGAGGGGGCGUGGCCCCUCUCUCUCUUCUUCCAUGCUAAAACAAGAGGAGGGGCUAGGCCCCUCUCUCUUCCUUAUGCCCCCCCUCCUCUCUCUCCUUCCAUGCCAAAACAAGAGGAGGGGCUAGGCCCCUCUCUUUUCCUCCCAUUCCAAGAGAUUGGCGCCCCAUGGACCUUCCAAAAAGGGAGGAUGGCGCCAUCUCUUCUUUCCAUCAAUUUUUUGCUUCAAAAAGAAAUAUCAAGGAGAUAAAGAGUAGAUUAAAUUGCUAACUUAUUGACAUGAUC
rnacentral:lncRNA from 1 species